rnacentral:rRNA from 1 species
GUGCACGCUGGCGGUAGGCCUAACACAUGCAAGUCGAACGGCAGCACAGUAAGAGCUUGCUCUUACGGGUGGCGAGUGGCGGACGGGUGAGGAAUACAUCGGAAUCUACUUUUUCGUGGGGGAUAACGUAGGGAAAUUUACGCUAAUACCGCAUACGACCUACGGGUGAAAGCAGGGGAUCUUCGGACCUUGCGCGAUUGAAUGAGCCGAUGUCGGAUUAGCUAGUUGGCGGGGUAAAGGCCCACCAAGGCGACGAUCCGUAGCUGGUCUGAGAGGAUGAUCAGCCACACUGGAACUGAGACACGGUCCAGACUCCUACGGGAGGCAGCAGUGGGGAAUAUUGGACAAUGGGCGCAAGCCUGAUCCAGCCAUACCGCGUGGGUGAAGAAGGCCUUCGGGUUGUAAAGCCCUUUUGUUGGGAAAGAAAAGCAGCAGGUUAAUACCCCGCUGUUCUGACGGUACCCAAAGAAUAAGCACCGGCUAACUUCGUG